CCUACGGGUGACAGCAGUGAGGAAUAUUGGUCAAUGGGCGCGAGCCUGAACCAGCCAAGUAGCGUGAAGGAUGACUGCCCUACGGGGUGUAAACUUCUUUUAUAAAGGAAUAAAGUGAGGCACGUGUGCCGUUUUGUAUGUACUUUAUGAAUAAGGAUCGGCUAACGCCGUGCCAGCAGCCGCGGUAAUACGGAGGAUCCGAGCGUUAUCCGGAUUUAUUUGGUUUAAAGGGAGCGUAGAGGGGUUGUUAAGUCAGUUGUGAAAGUUUGCGGCUCAACCGUCAAAUUGCCAUUGAUACUGGCAGUCUUGAGUCCAUUUGCGGUAGUCGGACUUCGUGUUGUAGCGGUGACAUUCUUCGAUAUCAC
rnacentral:rRNA from 1 species